NAGGACUUAGUUUAAUUAAAANCAAUUGGUUUGCAUUCAAUUGAUGUAAGAUGGGGUCUUGCAGUCCUUA
rnacentral:tRNA from 1 species